UACGUAGGGGCCUAGCGUUGUCCGGAUUUAUUGGGCGUAAAGAGCUCGUAGGCGGUUCGGUAAGUCAGGUGUGAAAUCUCCACGCUCAACGUGGAGGCGCCACCUGAAACUGCCGUGACUCGAGUCCGAUAGAGGUGGGUGGAAUUCCUAGUGUAGAGGUGAAAUUCGUAGAUAUUAGGAAGAACACCGGUGGCGAAGGCGGCCCACUGGAUCGGUACUGACGCUGAGGUGCGAAAGCGUGGGGAGCAAACAGG
rnacentral:rRNA from 1 species